GAGAAACCUAAAUAAGCUCCAGAAUACACGUGAGAAACUCUGCUGGGAGGAGGUUUGGAUGAAGGAGCUACUAAGAAGCAAGAGACAGCAUGACAAGAGACAGCGGAAAGGUCAAGGCAAAGAGAAAAGUUGUCUACAUGCAACAAUCUUUCCUUCUGGGACUCAUGAGCCAGUCUGAGGAGAGCAUAACCUGGAACAUCUCUAGUCCUCCUUACUGGCAUAAACAUACAAGUAAGGAUCUGACUCUGGAUGUACUACAGCCAAUUCUCAAAGACCUGUUUUGAAAGCUGUUUUCCAUUUAGUCUGUUUAGUAAUAAGAAUCAAAAAAUGGCUCCUGGUGGUCCUGACCCAUGUCAGCAGCAUCAGUUUGUGCCGUGGGCAUUUGCACAUACACCUUCCUGUCUCUUGGCCGCAGCACAUCACAUUAGUGUGACACAGUGAUGUGAGAUGCCUGCAGUAAAAGUGGGUGUGGAUUCCAGGACUGUCCUGAAUGACGUGGGA